rnacentral:rRNA from 1 species
GACGAACGCUGGCGGCGUGCUUAACACAUGCAAGUCGAACGGAAAGGCCCUGCUUUUGUGGGGUGCUCGAGUGGCGAACGGGUGAGUAACACGUGAGUAACCUGCCCUUGACUUUGGGAUAACUUCAGGAAACUGGGGCUAAUACCGGAUAGGAGCUCCUGCUGCAUGGUGGGGGUUGGAAAGUUUCGGCGGUUGGGGAUGGACUCGCGGCUUAUCAGCUUGUUGGUGGGGUAGUGGCUUACCAAGGCUUUGACGGGUAGCCGGCCUGGGAGGGUGACCGGCGACCUUGGGACUGCGAUACGGCCCAGACUCCUACGGGAGGCAGCAGUGGGGAAUAUUGCACAAUGGGCGGAAGCCUGAUGCAGCAACGCCGCGUGCGGGAUGACGGCCUUCGGGUUGUAAACCGCUUUCGCCUGUGACGAAGCGUGAGUGACGGUAAUGGGUAAAGAAGCACCGGCUAACUACGUG